ACUUCUGCCUGAGGGUGGUCAGGCUUUUUGAACGAUUUCAAUCAUAUGGAGUGAGUACCUGAAUUGCAAAGAUGAAGCCCCCUCUAAUUUUUUGCAGAUAAGAGCCAAAGCCACAAAAGGAUAUGUCACAUAAACUACUAAAACUAGUGGUAUCCUCCAUUUCUGCCUCUUGACAUCUUUUCCCUGGAGUAAUAAUCACUCAACAAAGAAAGAUAAGGCAAUAAUUCCAGAGUCAAGAGAAAGGAAAGUGAAUAGAGCUCCAGAUGGGAAAGCAGACGUCACCUCCCAGAGCCCUGCAAAUACAAGAGAUUGCAACUGAGGGUUUUGCUGAGGAGCAGGCCGGUACUUCCAAGGAAGAGACAUGCUCCAUCAUGAUCCAAAGGCCACAUAGUUGGGCUGAUAUUCCCAUCCAGGUUUCUGCUGGAUACAAAGAAUGCCAUUGUAUUAUGUGGACUAUCUAAGAGCAUGUUGCAUUGCAGAGAUGGAAUUCUCCAGAGGCUGCCAAGACUGCUGUCAGGUGUAAUCUAACCCAUCAACAUUUUUAGGAGAAAGCAGAAUGAACAUGAAAACGGGGAUGAAGGAGAGGGAGGAACACGUACCUUUGAAGUUGUAAUUGAGCGUCUUGUCUGCUCCAUUGAAUAAAGUUCUGUAGAAAGU